AUUGAACGCUGGCGGCAUGCUUUACACAUGCAAGUCGAGCGGCAGCGCGGGGUCAACCCUGGCGGCGAGCGGCGAACGGGUGAGUAAUUCAUCGGAACGUAUCCUCGAGUGGGGGAUAACCCAGCGAAAGUUGGGCUAAUACCGCAUGAGCUCUGAGGAGGAAAGCGGGGGACCUGCGAGGGCCUCGCGCUGGAGGAGCGGCCGAUGUCCGAUUAGCUAGUUGGUGGGGUAAAGGCUUACCAAGGCGACGAUCGGUAGCUGGUCUGAGAGGAUGAUCAGCCACACUGGGACUGAGACACGGCCCAGACUCCUACGGGAGGCAGCAGUGGGGAAUUUUGGACAAGGGGGGCAACCCUGAUCCAGCACUGCCGCGUGAGUGAAGAAGGCCUUCGGGUUGUAAAGCUCUUUCGGACGGAACGAAAUGGGCGGGACUAAUACUCCUGUCUGAUGACGGUACCGUACGAAGAAGCACCGGCUAACUACGUG
rnacentral:rRNA from 1 species